UUAUUACAAAGUGGUAAAUGUGCCGAGAUCCUGAGACAUCAGAGGAAGGGCUCCAGAGACAAGACUCAAACAGGUUGCAGAUGAUGUGGGUUCUCAAGUUAAGCUCUGCAAUAAACACAAAGCUCACCAUGUUAUAUGUAUUUCAUGAUAAGUCCAAUACUAAAUCUUAAUGUGUUUUAUAUACUGUGACACCAAAUUUUUCACUGAAUUCAAAGAAUUAUAUGAAGGUAUAUUUGUAAAUGCUACACCUGCUGUAUUACCCACUAGCCAUUAUUAACUUUUUACUCCAUUGCAUUAAAACCCUGCACACAGCAACACCCCCACACUGUAAUGCACAAUUAACUCCACAUAUGGUGCAAAGUGGAUCUGCCAUAAAUUAGAUAUUUGCAGGUGUUAUUUCUCUCAAUAUUACUGGGGACUAUGGGCUAUCUAUGAAAUUACAUCAAUAUUCAACCUGGGGUUAUUCAGGAUUCAGUCUCUGUCAACCCCGCUAACAAUACCACUGACACAGGUAAAUGAUAAAAAGCCAGCACAGAUAUAUUAGCAGAGAGGGACUUAAAAUGUUCUAGUUCCCAGUGCCAACUAGAAAUUCUAGUAACUGGAAUGACUGUCUCCUG